AUAGCAGUUUCAUCAAAUUAUUCAACAUUGAAGAUCAAGAAUUAAUAGCGAUAGGCGUAGUAAAGUAGAAAUAACACCCAAGUGUAUGAUAACUCAGACGGAAAUUUGAAAUCAAGAAACAAAACCAUCCAAAUCAUUUCAGUUUCAGGAAAUAAAUCCACCUUUGCAUGACUUAGCCGCCAGCUUAUCGAGUCCGAAAAUAAUGAGGACGAUGGCGACAACAUAGUUUUCAAAGAAGAGAUGGCUAUGGCAAGUCCUGAUAAGUUUAGCAAAGAACAAUUGAACUA